UCACAUUCCUUGGCGUUUGAGCAUAAAUUGCGCCAUAACACUACAACAUUUGUUGUCUUUGGGAACACUUGUUUAUGCAACAUCUCAAAAUUGUUGCCUAAAAAUAGCUUUAGGCGACAUUUUAUACUUGUUGUCAAUAACAUUUUUACAACUACUCGUGAAUGUUCCCUAAAAUCUCUUUGGGGACGGUUUUUAAUCGUUCCUG
rnacentral:lncRNA from 1 species